rnacentral:rRNA from 1 species
CCUACGGGAGGCAGCAGUGGGGAAUUUUGGACAAUGGGGGAAACCCUGAUCCAGCCAUGCCGCGUGUGUGAAGAAGGCCUUCGGGUUGUAAAGCACUUUUGGCGGGAACGAAACGGUUCGUGCUAAUACCAUGGACUAAUGACGGUACCCGCAGAAUAAGCACCGGCUAACUACGUGCCAGCAGCCGCGGUAAUACGUAGGGUGCAAGCGUUAAUCGGAAUUACUGGGCGUAAAGCGUGCGCAGGCGGUUUUGUAAGACCGAUGUGAAAUCCCCGGGCUUAACCUGGGAACUGCAUUGGUGACUGCAAGGCUAGAGUGUGUCAGAGGGGGGUGGAAUUCCACGUGUAGCAGUGAAAUGCGUAGAGAUGUGGAGGAACACCGAUGGCGAAGGCAGCCCCCUGGGAUAACACUGACGCUCAUGCACGAAAGCGUGGGGAGCA